rnacentral:rRNA from 1 species
CAGCAGUGAGGAAUAUUGGGCAAUGGGCGCAAGUCUGACCCAGCCAUGCCGCGUGCAGGAUGACGGCCCUACGGGUUGUAAACUGCUUUUUUACGGGAAUAAACCCUCGUUCGUGCAGGGGUUUGAAGGUACCGUAAGAAUAAGGAUCGGCUAACUCCGUG